AGGAGAUGGCUCAGCAGUUAAGAGCACUAGCUGCUCUUCUAGAGGACCUGGGUUCAAUUCCCAGCACCUA
rfam:Mus musculus chromosome 8, GRC primary reference assembly.